AUUCCAGCUCCAAUAGCGUAUAUUAAAGUUGUUGCAGUUAAAAAGCUCGUAGUUGGAUUUCUGGUAGGAGCGACCGUGCCGAACUUGAUUGUUCGUGUAUUGUGUUGUCUUCAGCCAUCCUCGUGGAGAACUUUUCUAACAUUAACUUGUUGGGAUUGGGACCCGCGUCGUUUACUGUGAAAAAAUUAGAGUGUUUAAAGCAGGCAUUAGCUUGAAUACAUUAGCAUGGAAUAAUAAGAUAGGACUUUGGUACUAUUUUGUUGGUUUGCAUACCAAAUUAAUGAUCAACAGGAACAGUUUGAGGAUAUUCGUAUGAACAUGUCAGAGGUGAAAUUCUUGGAUUUUGAUCAGACGAACUACUGCGAAAGCGUUUAUCAAUGAUGUCUUCAUCA
rnacentral:rRNA from 1 species